GUAAGGGCUUUGUGUGCUGACGG
rnacentral:piRNA from 1 species